GGGAUUGUGGUUAAGUGGAGGAGCACUCACCUGGCAUGUGGGUGGCCCUGGGUUCGAUCCUCAGCAUCACA
rnacentral:tRNA from 1 species